rnacentral:rRNA from 1 species
GGAGUAAUACGUCUGAACGUGCCCCAUCGUGGGGGAUAACGGAGUCAAAGCUUUGCUAUUACCCCAUACAAUCUUUGGAUGAGAGCAGGGGACCGCAUGGCCUUGUGCGGACUGAGCGGCCGAUGGCUCAUAAUGUAUUUGGUGGGAUAAAAGAUUACCACGCCGACAAUAUGUAGCUGGUCUGAGAGGACAACCACCCCCACUGGGACUGAGACACGGCCCAGACUCCUACGGGAGGCAGCACUGGGGAAUUUUGUACAAUGGGCGAAAGCCUGAUCCAGCCAUGCCCCGUGCGUCAUGAAAGCCUUCUGGUUGUAAACUGCUUUUGUACGGAACAAAAAGACUCCUUCUAAUAAAGGGGGUCCAUGACAGUACCGUAGAAAUAUACACCGGCUAACUACGUGCCAGCAGCCGCGGUAAUACGUAUGGUGCAAGCGUUAAUCUGAAUUACUGGGCGUAAAGCGUGUGCACGCGGUUAUAUAAUACAGAUGAUGAAAUCCCCGGGCUCUACCUUGGGAACUGCUGUUGUAGUGACUGUAUAGCUCUAGUACGGUAGAAGAGGGGAUGGAAUUCCUGCCGUUGUAGCAGUGAAAUGCGUAGAUAUGCGGAGGAACACCGAUGGCGGAAGGCAACUCCCCCUGUACCUGUACUGACACUCAUGCACAAAAGCGUGKGGAGCAAACAGGAUUAUAUACCCUGGUAGUCCACGCCCUCUAAACGAUAUCUACUGUAUGGUGGUGUGUUCUCUGACUCAUUAACGAAGCUAACGCGUGAAGAUGACCGCCUGUGGAGUACGGCCGCACGGUUGAAACUCUCAAAGGAGUUGUCGAGGGACACGCACAAGCGCUGGAUGAUGUGUUUUAUUCUGGAUGCAACGCGAAAAACCUUAUCCACGUUUGACAUGUACUGAAUCCUUAAGAGAUAGAGGAGUGCUCGAAAGAGAACCGUAACACAGGUGCUGCAUGGCGGUCGUCAGCUCGUGUCGUGAGAUGUUGGGUUAAGUCCCGCAACGAGCGCAACCCUUGUCAUUAGUUGUUACAUUUAGUUGGGCACUCUAAUGAGACUGCCGGUGACAAACCGGAGGAAGGUGGGGAUGACGUCAAGUCCUCAUGGCCCUUAUAGGCGGGGCUUCACACGUCAUACAAUGGUUGGUACAGAGGGUUGCCAACCCGCGAGGGGGAGCCAAUCCCAUAAAGCCAGUCGUAGUCCGGAUCGCAGUCUGCAACUCGAGUGCGUGAAGUCGGAAUCGCUAGUAAUCGCGGAUCAGAAUGUCGCGGUGAAUACGUUCCCGGGUCUUGUACACACCGCCCGUCACACC